rnacentral:rRNA from 1 species
GUCCACGCCCUAAACGAUGAUAACUCGAUGUUAGCGAUAUACCGUUAGCGUCUAAGCGAAAGCAUUAAGUUAUCCACCUGGGGAGUACGGUCGCAAGAUUGAAACUCAAAGGAAUUGACGGGGCCCGCACAAGCGGAGGAGCAUGUGGUUUAAUUCGAUGAUACGCGAGGAACCUUACCUGGGCUUGAAAGUUAGUGACGUUCUGAGAAAUCGGAAUUUCCGCAAGGACACGAAACUAGGUGCUGCAUGGCUGUCGU